rnacentral:rRNA from 1 species
AGAGAGAGACAUGCGCGCAUAUCAAUAAGCGGAGGAAAAGAAACUAACUAGGAUUCCCUCAGUAACGGCGAGUGAAGCGGGAAGAGCUCAAAUUUGAAAUCUUCAAGGUUCUACCUUGACGAAUUGUAGUUUAAAGAAGUGUUUUCUGUUGGAGUUUUGGUAAAAGUUCUUUGGAAUAGGACAUCAUAGAGGGUGAGAAUCCCGUAUUUGACCAUUAUUUCCAGCUUUGUGAUACACUUUCAAAGAGUCGGAUUGUUUGGGAAUGCAGUCCAAAAUGGGUGGUAAAUUUCAUCUAAAGCUAAAUACUGGCGAGAGACCGAUAGCGAACAAGUACCGUGAGGGAAAGAUGAAAAGAACUUUGAAAAGAGAGUUAAACAGUACGUGAAAUUGUCAAAAGGGAAGCGUUUGACACCAGUGUUGUUUUCUCGAAAAUCAAUUAAAAAAGGCAGGAUUUUGUGUUGUAUUGACUUUAUCAGCUUUCUGCACUCUUUUCUUGUCUUUUUUAAUGCACUUUUCGUUUAACAAGUCAACAUCAAUUUCUUUUGUUGUAAAAGGGUCAUUGGAAGGUGGCUUUCUUUUCGGAGAAAGUGUUUAUAGCCUUUGGCCUCUGCAAUCGGAGAGAUUGAGGUCUGCAGCGUAGAUCCUUCGGGGUUAGAUACAUUUGUGCUAAGUUAUAGCCUUUUCAUAGACAACUUGUUGACUAUGAUCAGUCAUGUAGCUUACUCGCUUAUGCUAUUUUACCUACGCUUAGGAUGUUGAUGUGAUACUGCGAGCA